GCCAAGCCGUGAACAAAAACAAGGCAGUUACGUUCUUGCAUGCGUGUAUAUUUGUUGAGUGUGUGCAUGUGUGUGAGAGAGUGAGAGAGCGCAUGUCUAUGCGGUGGCUUCCUCUGUUGGCUCAAGUCCCAUCUGCCUUUCGUAUACGAACAGAGAACAGAAUAACUUCAACACGAGCGGCUGCUGGACGUGUGCGAAAGUAAAGCGCAUAGUGUGCGAAACGCAAGCGAGAAAAUAUAGAAAAAGGCUAAAGCGGGGCAUACACACAAACACUCAGGCACACACACACACAUACACACACACACAGACAAGUAGAAAUUAAUGAUACACAAAUAAGUUGAAUUCUAAUACGCUAAAAAUUGAAAAGCCUAACUCAAUAAGAGUUGUUUAUAGUAACGCUUGUUGUUUGGAUUGUGCGUAAAAACGUUUUGCAAUUUUGUGCAACAAUAAAGUAGGUUAAAUACGAAAGCUCUUCGAAAAUUAAUUCUUUGGAGGUCGGCUGCAUGUGUGUAUGCGGCGGGGCAGCAGUGAAAAAAUGCAGUGUAGCAGCAAAAACAAAAACGAAGCAAAGCAAAUGGCUUGAUAGGCGACUAAAUAUAUAUAAAUUUCAAUUAAUUUGAAAGAUAACCAAAAGCGAACGUGAUAUUUUAUACCUGUGGCCUGUUUUUAAUCAAAGCCAAGCACACACUCACACGGACACACACGGAAACACUAAAACACACAUACACACGCGACACACACGAACACACACGCAAAAUAUAUAGCAAUAUAUGCCCAUUGAGUGCCUUAUAUCAUUUGAUAAUAAUCCACAAGGUGUCUACUAUGCCGGACAGGAGUUAUCUGGCGUUGUUGAUCUUAGCGUCGAUGCCACCAAGCGCAUUAAAGGCAUUCAUGUCACCGUCAGCGGUUAUGCCAAGAUACGCUGGAUAAAAAAGGGAUAUCCGCGGGACAGCGAACGCGCCAUGUGCCGUGCCUAUCGAUCGUAUCUGUCAUCGAGAUCGUAUGUCCUUGGCUCGUGUGCGGGCAACUCGUGCAUCGAUUGGCUAGCCGGCGAAUAUUCGUACACGUUUCAUGUCAUACUGCCCGACAAUCUGCCCACAUCCUUUGAUGGCAAAUAUGGCCAGAUACAUUAUGAGAUCAUAACGACUAUCGAACGAUCGGGUCGCUACCCUAAGGUGUUUAAGCUGCCAUUUACCGUGAUACAACCGUUGGAUCUGAAUGCAGAUGCUAUUUACAGGGUGCCGCUGGAGAUACUCGAUCGCAAGCGCUUCUGGAGCUUUUGCUGCCCAACCGGGCCACUGACGGUCAAAUUUUCAACACCCUAUUGCGGCUAUGCACCCGGCCAGAAGAUACAUUUUGUACUGUACAUCAACAACGAGUCGUCGAUCGAUAUGACCGAAUGCGAAGUUAAGCUGAAGCAGGAGGUUAGCUAUGAAUCGCACGAUCCGCAGCACGAGUAUCGCUAUGAUAAGCAUCUGAUAGCUUUAAAGCAGUUCGGCAACGUGUUGCGCUGGUCGAGAAAAGUCUACAGGGGCUAUUUGGAUCUACCCUCGAUACCGCCGACAUCGGUGAAGCCGACCUGCCCCAUUAGCGUUAACUAUUCGAUUAAGAUCAUUGUGAAUCCAACCGAAUUCCAUUGGAAGCUGAAACUCAAAAUACCGCUGACCAUCGGAAGCAUACCCAUCAUGGAUGGACCCGAUGCUCUGUUGCGAUUUAAUCGGCGGUUGCAGCAGCAUCAAGUAGUUAGCCAACAUUUCCAAAUGUCAACGCAGCAGAACCAAAGGCAACGGCCACAGCAGCGAACCCAACCAAACAGCAGCAGCAACAACAGCAGCAGCAGCACCAACAACAAUAACAACAACAACAGCAACAAUCAGGCAACACAGGCCAUGCAACGCUCGGGUGCAACACUGCCGGCCCAAACAAGUCCCUCAUCAACGCCAACGACUGCCGCCCUAAGGCCCGCCAUGCCAGCAAUAUUAGUAACCAGCGAUAGCGAUAGUCCCCCAGAUUAUAUACCCAUGAUGCCGCCCUCGUAUGAAGAUGCCAUGGCGCUAAGCGAAAAAUUUAGCGACGAUAUUGAAUUCCUGACAAAUGUUAGCAUGAGCAGCAUUAUGUCCGCUCAGUGCGAUGUAACAAGUGAGCGUGAGCCCUUUAAACCGCGUUACCCGGUCUAUUAUGAUUAUGAGACACCGACCAUACCGCCCGGUAGUGAUGAUUCCACUGAAUCCGACACAUAAACCCAAAUUGUUACAAAGAACUGUUGCAAAAAAGAAAAAAAACAAAAAAUAAUAACUCAAAAGCAAAGCAAAACUAAUCAAAUUGAAUGGCUGAGUGGCAUUUUAUUCAAAUUAAUUUUUUUAUUCCCUUCUAUUUCAAAGUAGUUAGAUCAAAUAUUUUUAUAAGCUUAAGAACUGCAAAGUGUUGGGCUUUGAUUUUGGGUAGCUUUAUAUAAAAAAGAGGCCUUAUCACUGUCCGAUUGCUAUAAAGUUUUUUAAUUCAAUUUAUACUGCAAGUGCCUGAAACUAAAUAUAACUUGAGAUGUCCGCUUUAAAAACAACAACUAAUUUUAAAAAUUGUAUAAAGGUUUUAUACACACAAUAUACGUAGUUGAAGAGCCAGUAUCUUUUUAAUCAGUAAAUUUUAGUAUAAAAAAUAUAGAAGUUAAUAUUUAAAUUGGCUAAAAUUUUACAGAUUUUUAAAGUCUGGUUUUGAACUCUUUGCUGUGUAUAUAAGUCUUAUACAUCUGCUUAGAUAUCAUAUAUAAACUCCUUAUCUGUUUUAUCUGCUUCCAUCCUUACCAAAUUCUAGUUGUGGUUUUCGUGCUUUCCGAUCUUCAUAUGAGCCAAAUCUCAAUGCUUUGCAGGGCAUAUUGAAUAACAUUUUAUUCCUUAAAAUUUAAUUUUAAAUUGCACGUCGAAAAAAGCAAAUCAUAUAUUCACACUAAAGACACUCUACAGUGAAACCUCGAAUACACAAUUUCGCUGUGGAGUGCAGCAGGAAGGGGU